rnacentral:rRNA from 1 species
UGCCUUGAAGAUCGGAGUGCUUGCACUCUGUGAAACAAGAUACAGGCUAGCGGCGGACGGGUGAGUAACACGUGGGUAACCUGCCCAAGAGAUCGGGAUAACACCUGGAAACAGAUGCUAAUACCGAAUAACAACAGAUGAUGCCUAUCAACUGUUUAAAAGAUGGUUCUGCUAUCACUCUUGGAUGGACCUGCGGUGCAUUAGCUAGUUGGUAGGGUAACGGCCUACCAAGGCGAUGAUGCAUAGCCGAGUUGAGAGACUGAUCGGCCACAUUGGGACUGAGACACGGCCCAAACUCCUACGGGAGGCAGCAGUAGGGAAUCUUCCACAAUGGACGCAAGUCUGAUGGAGCAACGCCGCGUGAGUGAAGAAGGGUUUCGGCUCGUAAAGCUCUGUUGUUGGUGAAGAAGGACAGGGGUAGUAACUGACCUUUGUUUGACGGUAAU